AUUCAGGUUUACACAUAGAGAUUAUAGUUCUCACCACUGAAUUUUCUGACCAAAUUUGAAGUGACAAUCACUAUUGCUUAUUUGUUUAAAAGCUUUUCAUUCACCAUAUUUGCAAAUACCCCCCAUAGCGUGAUUCUGAUUAUCUCACCACUUCAUGCAUUUAAUCACGAAAAAGUGAUAUAAAGAUCAUAUAUGUAAUUCAAAAAUAUCUAUAGAAUAUAAUCACUUACUCGGACUUCAAUCUCACGGACGUUUGAAGUUUGCGCCAUGCCCGUCCCUUUAUUUAUUUUUGCACUUGCUAUAUUGGCUUCAUUGCAGUAAGCAGUCCAAUGACAUCUGCACAUAAUAAUACUUAAAAAUCUCGUUCACCGAUGCUUGUUCUUUGAUAUGGAUUUUGAUUGUACCUGAGCACUAUUUAUCAAUAAUCACCCUACUAUCCAAGGUAUCACCAUCAGCAAAUUCGAAGUGGUAGUCCAAAAACUUGGAUUUUCCUUCAUCCACUUCCUUCACCGUUGUAUCAUAGACAAAACUUAUUUUGAGAUUGUUCUAAAAUGGUCGGUAUUUUUCAUACUCCCAGACUUUGAAGGUCUUAAUUUUGUACCUCUUUAAUUUUUGAUUUAAAUUUAUUGACCAGUUUGCUCCCAAUAGAAGCAUCGAUUACAUCACCUUACAUAGAGAGAAAACAUCAGCAAACUUUGGAAAGGGUAAAUUGAAGAGACAUUAUAUAUGUAAUACUUGCACCUUUUUAUCUAAUAAAAUCAUACCAGAGUUCAUUAGUUAAUAAGUUAAUUGUGUCCCAAAGUCUUAAAACUUUGACUUUGAUCGUCCAUGUCUCGUUUCCUGUAGUCGAUGCAUUCAACGGUGUGUGCCAUAAUCUUUGAGGCCCUAAAAGUAUAAGAACAAAGUGUUGAUUGAUAAAGUAAGUAAUAUAAUGACAUGCAAGCUCUAUAAAUACAAAAUAUUUUUGUCGCUUUUAGAUUAGCACUGCCUACAGUGUAAAUUGAUUAUUAUUGAUCUCUACUCCUAAUGGACGAGUUGGUUGAAUAGUCCCCCCAUUUUCGUCUGGUUUUUUUUCGACUGGUUUUUUUUCGUCCCCCACACCCACCACACGCACGCAAAAAAAAAACCACCCCGCACAAACACCUCUCGUAUCGAUCCCCUCGAGGAGAAGCCGUCGCCCCCAUCUCCCGCUCCGCCGCCGCCGCCCCCAUCUCCCGCUCCGCCGCCGCCGCCCCCCGCCUUACCGUAUCUCCCUCCACCACCCCCACGCUUCUCCCCAUCGCCGGAUCCGCUAUCAGAUCGCCAAGGUUAGGCGGCAGAGCUCCACGUCCGCGACGCGCUCGUGCUCGUCAAGGAAGGGGCUCCCGAUCGAAUCUGCGCUCACGCGGCUUGUGUGCCAUGGCCGCCAUGGCAUCCAUGGCCGACAAGAGGGGACCCUCGGCCUCGGCCAUGGCCGCCUGCUUUGGACACGGGGUCGCCACAUCCGACGCUGCCAGCGCCUCGUGGACCGCCAUCAGGAGCUCCAGGUCCGCCGCUAUCGAACUCUACGGCCAUGGUCACCACGUCCAUGGUCGAUCAACUGAUCUGAUCUGAUCACAAGUUCCACAGGAAGAAAAUCUAGAAAUUCUUGCGCUGGAUGCAGUAGACGAAAUUGAAUGUACACGUACGUGGAUCCAAGUCCGAGUUGGGAGCGCCAUCGAUCCGACGAACGUGCAAGGAAUUUCUGAAUCCAGGACUUCUAUUUGAGCAUUCUUUGUGGACAGGUUGACAACAGGAGCUGAAGUACGUUUGAACAAACGUUUUCUUUCAGUUUUCCCAAGAAGAACAUGAGGCUGGUACGACAGGGGCUGGUACUGCAUCUCGUCGGCGGAAGGCGAAAAGAAUGGCGGCGGCGGGCAAUAUGGGAGAAGACGGUGCCCUGCCUGACAACGGACUCGAAUUUCUACUGGAUCCGGUUGACAGAGAGGUGGUUGCGGACGUUGAGGUGCCAGAUCCGUUGGCGGCGAGGGACUUAGUGGCGACAGACAUGGCUGGCGCCGAUUCCUCAUGCGCGGUUGUGGUUGGGCACCUCGGCGGAGCUGCUGAGCCCCGGGAUUCUGGCGGCAAGAGGAAACAGUAGUCAACCCAGUCCGUGGAAUCGACCGGGAAAGUGAACCCGGAGGCGCCCAGGUCGACCAGAAGGUAAAAAGUAAAAUUAGAGUUCUGAAACUUUCAGACAGAAUGGUUUUGAUUUUUGCAAGCACUGUCACAUACUUGUGCAUGAGCAUAUAUGCCUGGUGCUGUGAUUACUCGUUUCAGCUGGGUAUCCUCGUGAUUUUUCUGGUCAUACUAAUGCGAAUUGGUGUUUCAUAUAUACGACUAGCCAAGAAGUUUUUAGAUGGAUCAUGUCAUAGAUGUACUAGCCAAGAUUGUUUUUAGAUGGAGUGACGAGUGGCACCUGCAGUUCUAAAGGAAAUGUUAGGGUAAGAAGGUUUAAUUCAGCACGCAAAACACAUAACCAUUGUACGACCAGACAGUUGUGGCACAACAGAAAACUAUAGCUACAACUUUUCUAUUUAAUUAAAUUUUUAGUUGACGAUAGUAUUAUCUAUUUUAUAAUUUUUAAUGUUAUAAGACUCCAAUCCAAUGCAGAGCUUAUGCCCGUCAUUGGCUUGUCUCCCCUGGGCUGUGCAUCCAGCUCCAGCGGGUUCAGCACGACUGAGGCAGCAGUGGGAAGGAAGAUUAUUCGGUAGGAUGGCGCUGACAACAUAUCGGAGAUGCGCCAAGCCUUGCUGCGACCUAGCUUUCUUGUGCUUGCUCUCCUUCCCCAACAACAGACCAUCAUGGCCCUCCCUUUUGUUGUUCAUCAAUGGGGGUCAUGUUCACAUCAGAACCUUCAUCAGCACAAUCUUCAUGAAUUUUCCAUAUUUGUCAUAUCUCUCUGAUUGUCCAAUGCAGAUCAUGUUGUUAAAAAGUGAAACUUCUGGGUUGAUUUCAGGUUUAAGGCGUAAAGACUUUUUUAGGUUCUGUUCGUGCUGGAAAAUUUAUGUUCAUUGUCGCACCAAUCAUGUUGGAACCGAAUUUAUUUUCAUUGUUUCAGUCCAAUUCAUCCUUAGAGGGAAAGUGUGGGCCUUGAACUGAAGGAGAGGCAAAUAUGUUUCUGUUCAUAGUUAAAUUGGUUCUUGAUUUGAAGAGAUUAUAGAGCCACGUAAUUUUGUACCCGAGCACUGCCAACUGUCGACGAUUUGUAUUGUGUGUUGUUUUACAGUACCUACUUGCCAAUAUUAUUGUGUUGUUUCUCCUAACAAUUGUAGACAUGAAUACAUUUUUGACGAGGUGAAGACAACAGAGAUUGGAGGUAUGCGCUGGGCUCUUUGACACAAGCUAGGGAGGAGUAAGCUGACUGGAUAAUGAGAAAUGUUGAAGUAGUCCAAGGAGGAAUGACACUGGCUGUGUGUGUGAUGACCUUAACUCUGAAAAAUGAGUUUUUCUUUCUUUCUAAAAUCUAGAGUGGAUUAAUUCUACAAGUAUCCUGAGUUUAUGAUAUGCUUUGCACAUCCACAUACGUGACAGCUGCAAGUUUAACCUGCUCUGAAAUCUCAGAGUUUGUUAGAAGAAACUAUAUUGUUGAUGUGGCUCUUUCACAGUUUUCAUUUCUAAUAAAAUGUGAAGGUGCAACUAUCCUGAAGAAUGAUUAUGUAAAAAGAAAGUUGUAUCAGCAUCGAAGUGAAGAACUGGUGCGGCAGAGCGCACCUUUCCUUCUUGUAAUGAUACCAUGUCCAGUGAA